rnacentral:rRNA from 1 species
CCAAUAGCGUAUAUUAAAGUUGUUGCAGUUAAAAAGCUCGUAGUUGAAUUUCAGGCCUGGCUGGACGGUCCGCCCUUCGGGUGAGUACUGUCUGUAGUCGGGUCCUACCUUCUGGCGAAGCGUCAUGGCCUUAACCGGCCGUGGCGGGGAACCAGGACUUUUACUGUGAAAAAAUUAGAGUGUUUAAAGCAGGCUUACGCUUGAAUACAUUAGCAUGGAAUAAUGAAAUAGGACGUUUGAUUCUAUUUUGUUGGUUUCUAGGAUCGACGUAAUGAUUAAUAGGGAUAGUUGGGGGCAUUAGUAUUCAAUUGUCAGAGGUGAAAUUCUUGGAUUUAUUGAAGACUAACUACUGCGAAAGCAUUUGCCAAGGAUGUUUUCAUUAAUCAAGAACGAAAGUUAGGGGAUCGAAGACGAUCAGAUACCGUCGUAGUCUUAACCAUAAACUAUGCCGACUAGGGAUCGGAUGAUGUUAAUUUUAUAAUGACUCAUUCGGCGCCUUACG